rnacentral:rRNA from 1 species
UACGUAAGGUCCGAGCGUUGUCCGGAAUCACUGGGCGUAAAGGGUACGCAGGCGGUUAGGAAAGUCAGAUGUAAAAGGCUGUAGCUUAACUAUAGUAAGCAUUUAAAACUGUAUAACUUGAGAAGAGGAGAGGAAAGUGGAAUUCUUAGUGUAGCGGUGAAAUGCGCAGAUAUUAAGAAGAAUACCGGUGGCGAAGGCGACUUUCUGGGCUUUAUCUGACGCUGAGGUACGAAAGCGUGGGUAGCAAACAGG